UACAGAGGUCUCAAGCGUUGUUCGGAUUCAUUGGGCGUAAAGGGUGCGUAGGCGGCUUGUCACGUCGGGUGUGAAAGACCGGGGCUUAACCCCGUGCCUGCUUCCGAUACGGGCAGACUAGAGGUAUGCAGGGGAGAACGGAAUUCCUGGUGUAGCGGUGAAAUGCGCAGAUAUCGGGAGGAACACCAGUGGCGAAGGCGGCGCUCUGGGCUGGAACUGACGCUGAGGAGCGAAAGCGUGGGGAGCGAACAGG
rnacentral:rRNA from 1 species